UGUGUUUCAGAGGAUAAGUGUGCAGAGUGUGAUCACAUCUGUGACAGAUCGAAAAGCUCAGUGACAUGUUCAUGUAAAGAAAAUUAUAAACUUCAAGAUGACGGGAAAUCAUGUAAAAAAAUCUCAAGAGGGAACCAAAAUAUUCCACAUAUCAGUGUGAUUGUGAUGGCGUUCUUCCUUGGACUCGCGCUUGUGAA